ACGUGUAAGAGAGAAGGCGCGUGAGGGUGAAGACACCGAUCAUGUACCCUCUACAGGUGCCGAAAGGGGCAGACGAAAACGCCGCCGCCCAAAGGGCCACCACGAAACUCCUGAACUCCAAGAACCCAGUAAGAAGACCUGCUGAAUUAAGGAGCUACAGCCCAGCAGCCUGUUCGAAACCAGGUUUAUCAAGGUCGAUACCUGUAAUGGACGUUACUCGGAGGCACUCAUAUUUAAUGUUGAUUGCUAGCUUGUCUAGUCGUGUUUACUUUUUGCAAUAAAAAAUGUUAUUGCUGUA